AUUGACGAGGAAGACAAAGAGAGAGAGAUUUUGGAUGUAUUCAGAAAGGUGGCAGUGAAUAUUCCACUACCUUAUGUGAUUAAGCAGGUCCCAAAAUACGCAAAAUUUAUGAAGGAUUUGCACACAUAAGAGGAGGCUUAUCGGAAAGGAGAGAGUGAAUUUGGGACACAUUGUUUCGACCCUUAUUCAGCCUAACACUUCACCUACCAGUUCAACUCUCACUCAGGACAUGCCACAAAAGUGCAAGGAUCCAGAAACUUUUCAUUACUUUAACCCAUCUUAGUUUAUAUAAACUGUCAUUUUCUUUAUUUCUUUUUUUAUUGUCAUUUUUAAAAAAAACAUAUUAUGAUAUUAAUAAAUUAUAUUUUAGAAUUUUAGAUUUAGAAAAACUCAAAUAUCAAUACGUUACAAUUUAAGCCAAUUAAUUUAAUCAUAAUGUUUUUUGCAUUAUCUCUGUUUUUAGUGUUUAAAACAUAUAUUUAACUUUUUUUUAAUUUUUUUUAAAAUAAGUAAAUAAUUCUACAAAGGUUGAUUUGGAAUAGUAAACAUAGUCACCAUUGAGAAGGCUACUAUAGGUUUCAUGUUACUAAUAAAAGUAGUUGUACGUUAUUUUCACAAUUUGUUUUGUUUUCCAUAACUUUAACCCAUCUUAGUUUAUAUAAACUGUCAUUUUCUUUAUUUCUUUUUUUAUGGUCAUUUUUUAAAUCAACAUAUUAUGAUAUCAAUAAAUUAUAUUUUAGAAUUCUAGAUUUAGAAAAGCUCAAAUAUCAAUAAUACGUUACAAUUUAAAUCAAUAAAUUUAAUCAUAUUUUAUUUUUACAUUUUCUCUGUUUUUAGUGUUUAAAAAUUACAUAUUUAACUUUUUUUUUAAAAAAGUUUAAAAUAAGUAAAUAAUUCUACCAAGGUUGAUUUGGAAUAGUGAACAUAGUCACCUUGAGAAGGCUACUAUAGGUUUCAUGUUGCUAAUAAAAGUAGUUGUACGUUAUUUUCACAAUU
rnacentral:lncRNA from 1 species